CAAUACCCCCUGUAUAUAGUCUCCACAUUGACUCUGUACCAGUACCUCCUGUAUAUAGCCUCCACAUUGACUCUGUACCAGUACCCCCUGUAUAUAGCCUCCACAUUGACUCUGUACCGUAACACCCUGUAUAUAGCCUCCACAUUGACUCUGUACCGUAAUACCCUGUAUAUAGCCUCCACAUUGACUCUGUACGGUAACACCCUGUAUAUAGCCUCCACAUUGACUCUGUACCGUAAUACCCUGUAUAUAGCCUCCACAUUGACUUUGUACCGUAACACCCUGUAUAUUGCCUCCACAUUGACUCUGUACCGUAAUACCCUGUAUAUAGCCUCCACAUUGACUCUGUACCGUAACACCCUGUAUAUAGCCUCCACAUUGACUCUGUACUGGUACCCCCUGUAUAUAGCCUCCACAUUGACUCUGUACCGUAACACCCUGUAUAUAUCCUCCACAUUGACUCUGUACCGUAAUACCCUGUAUAUAUCCUCCACAUUGACUCUGUACCGUAACACCCUGUAUAUAGCCUCCACAUUGACUCUGUACCGUAAUACCCUGUAUAUAGCCUCCACAUUGACUCUGUACCUGUACCCCCUGUAUAUAGCCUCCACAUUGACUCUGUACCUGUACCCCCUGUAUAUAGCCUCCACAUUGACUCUGUACCGUAACACCCUGUAUAUAGCCUCCACAUCGACUCUAUACCGUAACACCCUGUAUAUAGCCUCCACAUUGACUCUGUACCGUAAUACCCUGUAUAUAGCCUCCACAUUGAGUCUGUACCGUAAUACCCUUUAUAUAGCCUCCACAUUGACUCUGUACCGUAAUACCCUGUAUAUAGCCUCCACAUUGACUCUGUACCGUAACACCCUGUAUAUAGCCUCCACAUUGACUCUGUACCGUAAUACCCUGUAUAUAGCCUCCACAUUGACUCUGUACCGUAAUACCCUGUAUAUAUCCUCCACAUUGACUCUGUACCGUAAUACCCUGUAUAUAGCCUCCACAUUGACUCUGUACCGUAAUACCCUGUAUAUAGCCUCCACAUUGACUCUGUACCGUAACACCCUGUAUAUAGCCUCCACAUUGACUCUGUACCGUAACACCCUGUAUAUAGCCUCCACAUUGUUAUUUUACUGCUGCUCUUUAACCACUUGUUACGUUUAUUUCUUAUUCUUAUCCGUAUUUUUGUUAACUGCGUUGUUGGUUAGGGGCUCGUAA
rnacentral:lncRNA from 1 species